CCAACCAUGAUGCAUUUUCCCUACCUGUUUGUUUCUGCCCAUAAAAGAAAGAGACUUGCAUGGUCUCAGGGUCAAUUGAAUUAUCCAUACCAGAUGGCUGCCUUUGUCUAGUUCUUUACACCUUUGAGGAGAAACAGUCCAGUCUUCUUGGGGUCGCGAUGGAGAAUCAGAGGCGGUGGGAAAGCAUCCUUCCGGUUGGCCAAUGGCUGUAGGAGACGUCGCCUUUGAUGAAAGCGGAAGCGAAUUUGAUGGACAACAGAAGAGGCUCCAUUUUAAACCAGUACUGCAAAUGUGAACUUCAGAGGGGUAAAUUGCCCCAGUCGAGGGAGAGAGAGGCAGGCUAGGUCCAACAGGCCUGCCUGGAAGAAGCAGAGCCCUCCCUCC